rnacentral:rRNA from 1 species
ACAAUGGGCGCAAGCCUGAUCCAGCAAUGCCGCGUGCAGGAAGAAGGCCUUCGGGUUGUAAACUGCUUUUGUCAGGGAAGAAAUUCCUCUAGGUUAAUACCCUUGGGGGGAUGACGGUACCUGAAGAAUAGCACCGGCUAACUACGUGCCAGCAGCCGCGGUAAUACGUAGGGUGACAAGCGUUAAUCGGAAUUACUGGGCGUAAAAGCGUGCGUCAGGCGGCUUUGCAAGACAGAUGUGAAAUCCCCGGGGCUCAACCUGGGGAACUGCAUUUGUGACUGCAAGGCUAGAGUACGGUAGAGGGGGAUGGAAUUCCGCGUGUAGCAGUGAAAUGCGUAGAUAUGCGGAGGAACACCAAUGGCGAAGGCAAUCCCCUGGACCUGUACUGACGCUCAUGCACGAAAGCGUGGG